rnacentral:misc_RNA from 1 species
AAGGUCACAGUUGUGUCAUGGGCCAUGCUAUGAGCAGGUGUUCUGGGAGGGUGGUGAAACUCAUGGUGAGUGGUGCACUGUGGGUAGGAGGGACUGAAGGUAGAGUCACAUCACAUGGAGGUGGGUUGGCUAAGGAAGUUGGGAGGUUGUGUUGGUUGGGCCAGGAGGUGGGUGUGAUUUUCCUUCCCACUCUCUCCUAGAUCACACGCCGCUAUGCAGAGUUCUCCUCCGCUCUUGUCAGUAUCAACCAGACAAUUCCUAAUGAACGGACCAUGCAAUUGCUGGGACAGCUGCAGGUGGAGGUGGAGAAUUUUGUCCUCCGAGUGGCAGCUGAGUUCUCCUCAAGGAAGGAGCAGCUUGUGUUUCUGAUCAACAACUAUGACAUGAUGCUGGGUGUGCUGAUGGAGCGGGCUGCAGAUGACAGCAAAGAGGUUGAGAGCUUCCAGCAGCUGCUCAAUGCUCGGACACAGGAAUUCAUUGAAGAGUUGCUGUCUCCCCCUUUUGGGGGUUUAGUGGCAUUUGUGAAGGAGGCUGAGGCUUUGAUUGAGCGUGGACAGGCUGAGCGACUUCGAGGGGAAGAAGCCCGGGUAACUCAGCUGAUCCGUGGCUUUGGUAGUUCCUGGAAAUCAUCAGUGGAAUCUCUGAGUCAGGAUGUAAUGCGGAGUUUCACCAACUUCAGAAAUGGCACCAGUAUCAUUCAGGGAGCGCUGACCCAGCUGAUCCAGCUCUAUCAUCGCUUCCACCGGGUGCUGUCCCAGCCGCAGCUCCGAGCCCUCCCUGCCCGGGCUGAGCUCAUCAACAUUCACCACCUUAUGGUGGAGCUCAAGAAGCAUAAGCCCAACUUCUGAUGUGCCAGAAACCGCCCUGAGAUCUGCCGG